rnacentral:rRNA from 1 species
AGCUAAUACCGGAUAAUAUAUUGAACCGCAUGGUUCAAUAGUGAAAGAACGGUUUUGUCNGUCACUUAUAGAUGGAUCCGCGCUGCAUUAGCUAGUUGGUAAGGUAACGGCUUACCAAGGCAACGAUGCGUAGCCGACCUGAGAUGGGUGAUCGGCCACACUGGAACUGAGACACGGUCCAGACUCCUACGGGAGGCAGCAGUU